AAGACUGUGAGACAGAAGUGGAUGGUUGUGCCAGUCAGCCAUGCUUUAAAGGACAGACAUGUACUGAUCUAACCGCAGUUGAACAAGGAAAUAGUACCAUAGGCUACAAGUGUGGUCCUUGUCCUUCUGGAUUUCAGUCUUCAAUGGGCACUUGUAUAGAUGUAGAUGAGUGUUUGAAUAGUAAAGCCUGUGAUCAUUCAUGCGUGAAUACAGAAGGUUCCUUCACUUGUAGUUGCAGAAAUGGGUUUAGACUUGAUGCCACUGAUAAGAAAACUUGUAAAGAUAUCAAUGAGUGUGAGGAAAGGUCCUCAAGUUGUCUACAUAAGUGCACCAACACACCAGGAAGCU
rnacentral:sRNA from 1 species